UGCAGUCGAGCGAACAGAUAAGGAGCUUGCUCCUUUGACGUUAGCGGCGGACGGGUGAGUAACACGUGGGUAACCUACCUAUAAGACUGGGAUAACUUCGGGAAACCGGAGCUAAUACCGGAUAACAUUUGGAACCGCAUGGUUCUAAAGUGAAAGAUGGUUUUGCUAUCACUUAUAGAUGGACCCGCGCCGUAUUAGCUAGUUGGUAAGGUAACGGCUUACCAAGGCGACGAUACGUAGCCGACCUGAGAGGGUGAUCGGCCACACUGGAACUGAGACACGGUCCAGACUCCUACGGGAGGCAGCAGUAGGGAAUCUUCCGCAAUGGGCGAAAGCCUGACGGAGCAACGCCGCGUGAGUGAUGAAGGGUUUCGGCUCGUAAAACUCUGUUAUUAGGGAAGAACAAACGUGUAAGUAACUGUGCACGUCUUGACGGUACCUAAUCAGAAAGCCACGGCUAACUACGUGCCAGCAGCCGCGGUAAUACGUAGGUGGCAAGCGUUAUCCGGAAUUAUUGGGCGUAAAGCGCGCGUAGGCGGUUUCUUAAGUCUGAUGUGAAAGCCCACGGCUCAACCGUGGAGGGUCAUUGGAAACUGGGAAACUUGAGUGCAGAAGAGGAAAGUGGAAUUCCAUGUGUAGCGGUGAAAUGCGCAGAGAUAUGGAGGAACACCAGUGGCGAAGGCGACUUUCUGGUCUGUAACUGACGCUGAUGUGCGAAAGCGUGGGGAUCAAACAGGAUUAGAUACCCUGGUAGUCCACGCCGUAAACGAUGAGUGCUAAGUGUUAGGGGGUUUCCGCCCCUUAGUGCUGCAGCUAACGCAUUAAGCACUCCGCCUGGGGAGUACGACCGCAAGGUUGAAACUCAAAGGAAUUGACGGGGACCCGCACAAGCGGUGGAGCAUGUGGUUUAAUUCGAAGCAACGCGAAGAACCUUACCAAAUCUUGACAUCCUUUGAAAACUCUAGAGAUAGAGCCUUCCCCUUCGGGGGACAAAGUGACAGGUGGUGCAUGGUUGUCGUCAGCUCGUGUCGUGAGAUGUUGGGUUAAGUCCCGCAACGAGCGCAACCCUUAAGCUUAGUUGCCAUCAUUAAGUUGGGCACUCUAGGUUGACUGCCGGUGACAAACCGGAGGAAGGUGGGGAUGACGUCAAAUCAUCAUGCCCCUUAUGAUUUGGGCUACACACGUGCUACAAUGGACAAUACAAAGGGCAGCUAAACCGCGAGGUCAUGCAAAUCCCAUAAAGUUGUUCUCAGUUCGGAUUGUAGUCUGCAACUCGACUACAUGAAGCUGGAAUCGCUAGUAAUCGUAGAUCAGCAUGCUACGGUGAAUACGUUCCCGGGUCUUGUACACACCGCCCGUCACACCACGAGAGUUUGUAACACCCGAAGCCGGUGGAGUAACCAUUUAUGG
rnacentral:rRNA from 1 species